AUUGAACGCUGGCGGCAUGCCUUACACAUGCAAGUCGAACGGCAGCGGGCCCUUCGGGGUGCCGGCGAGUGGCGAACGGGUGAGUAAUGCAUCGGAACGUACCCGGGAGAGGGGGAUAACCGGCCGAAAGGCUGGCUAAUACCGCAUGAACUCGGAAGAGCAAAGCGGGGGACCUUCGGGCCUCGCGCUCUCGGAGCGGCCGAUGUCCGUUUCGGCUAGUUGGUGGGGUAAAGGCCCACCAAGGCGACGAUCGGUAGCGGGUCUGAGAGGACGAUCCGCCACACUGGGACUGAGACACGGCCCAGACUCCUACGGGAGGCAGCAGUGGGGAAUCUUGGACAAUGGGCGCAAGCCUGAUCCAGCAGUGCCGCGUGGGUGAAGAAGGCCUUCGGGUUGUAAAGCCCUUUCGGCGGGGAAGAAAUCGGUCAGGCGAAUAGUCUGGCCGGGUGACGGUACCCGCAGAAGAAGCACCGGCUAACUACGUG
rnacentral:rRNA from 1 species